GACAGAGGUGCCAAGCGUUAGGCGGAAUCACUGGGCUUAAAGCGUGUGUAGGCGGGUCGUUAAGUACCUUGUGAAAUCCCCCGGCUCAACCGGGGAACGGCUGGGUAUACUGGCGAUCUUGAGCCACCUAGGGGCAGUCGGAACAAGUGGUGGAGCGGUGAAAUGCGUAGAUAUCACUUGGAACGCCAAUGGUGAAAACAGACUGCUGGGGGUGUGACUGACGCUGAGACACGAAAGCCAGGGGAGCAAACGGG
rnacentral:rRNA from 1 species